UUGUGUCUGCACCCAAGUGGGAGGCAGCCAGCAGCCUGAAGCUAAGGAAGAGCUAACUAACUGCCCUCCAUAGAAACUUGUGGCCUCUGUAUCCUUUGUACCGAGUUCUAACUAGCUGAACAGAAAGAGUGAAUGCGAAGUUCAGAGAAUCUUGACAAAAGCUAAGAAGAGUUUAAGGACAAAGGGGCCACUGCCAGGAGAUGCUGAGAGACUCUUUACCAAUGAUGUUACAUUCUGGAACAAAGGUGCCCUUUGGAGGAGGUAUACAUUGAAUCCCCAUUUUCCAGUUCUCCUAGACCCUUUGAUGAUAGUUCCUCAGCAUCUGCAUCUGUGGCCUGGAGGAAUCUUGGGAGAAGCCUUGGGGAAAUCUGUUCAGACUCUCCAGGGAAUGCCAAGCUGAAGAUGGGAUGAAAGGGGACUGGAAUUGCUGGGAUUUUAUCACAAAACAAAAAUAAUGCCACCUGAAUAAAACUACAGGUAACUUCUAGAUGGUGUAAGCAGUAAAAGAAUAAUAUGGAGAAUUGUAGAAUUAAGGGAAAAUAGGGAAAAUAGCUAAUAAUGAUAUUAAGUCAUUUGUAUUUAGCAUUUUUCAUUAGGUUUUCACAACAAUCCUG